rnacentral:sRNA from 1 species
UACAACGCGGAGUUCGCGCUCCUCCUGGA